AUACGUAGGGGGGCUAGCGUUAUCCGGAUUUACUGGGCGUAAAGGGUGCGUAGGUGGUUUCUUAAGUCAGGAGUGAAAGGCUACGGCUUAACCGUAGUAAGCUCUUGAAACUGGGAAACUUGAGUGCAGGAGAGGAAAGUGGAAUUCCUAGUGUAGCGGUGAAAUGCGUAGAUAUUAGGAGGAACACCAGUUGCGAAGGCGGCUCUCUGGACUGUAACUGACACUGAGGCACGAAAGCGUGGGGAGC
rnacentral:rRNA from 1 species